rnacentral:rRNA from 1 species
CAGGCUUAACACAUGCAAGUCGAGCGGGGUGAUGGUGCUUGCACUAUCACUUAGCGGCAGACGGGUGAGUAACGCGUGGGAAUCUACCCAAUGGUACGGAAUAACUCAGGGAAACUUGAGCUAAUACCGUAUGUGCCCGAAAGGGGAAAGAUUUAUCGCCAUUGGAUGAGCCCGCGUCGGAUUAGCUAGUUGGUGGGGUAACGGCCCACCAAGGCGACGAUCCGUAGCUGGUCUGAGAGGAUGAUCAGCCACACUGGGACUGAGACACGGCCCAGACUCCUACGGGAGGCAGCAGUGGGGAAUAUUGGACAAUGGGCGCAAGCCUGAUCCAGCCAUGCCGCGUGAGUGAUGAAGGCCCUAGGGUUGUAAAGCUCUUUCGACGGGGACGAUAAUGACGGUACCCGUAGAAGAAGCCCCGGCUAACUUCGUGCCAGCCGCCGCCGUAA